AGUCGAACGGACUUAACUCAUUCUUUUAGAUUGAGAGCGGUUAGUGGCGGACUGGUGAGUAACACGUAAGCAACCUGCCUAUCAGAGGGGAAUAACAGUGAGAAAUCAUUGCUAAUACCGCAUAAGCUAGUAGUAUCGCAUGAUAUAGCUAGAAAAGGAGCAAUCCGCUGAUAGAUGGGCUUGCGUCUGAUUAGCUAGUUGGUGGGGUAACGGCCUACCAAGGCGACGAUCAGUAGCCGGACUGAGAGGUUGAACGGCCACAUUGGGACUGAGAUACGGCCCAGACUCCUACGGGAGGCAGCAGUCGGGAAUAUUGCGCAAUGGAGGAAACUCUGACGCAGUGACACCGCGUAUAGGAAGAAGGUUUUCGGAUUGUAAACUAUUGUCGUGAGGGAAGAAAUUGACAGUACCUCAGGAGGAAGCUCCGGCUAACUAUGUGCCAGCAGCCGCGGUAAUACAUAGGGAGCAAGCGUUAUCCGGAUUUAUUGGGUGUAAAGGGUGCGUAGACGGGAAAUUAAGUUAGUUGUGAAAUCCCUCGGCUUAACUGAGGAACUGCAACUAAAACUGAUUUUCUUGAGUACUGGAGAGGAAAGUGGAAUUCCUAGUGUAGCGGUGAAAUGCGUAGAUAUUAGGAGGAACACCAGUGGCGAAGGCGGCUUUCUGGACAGUAACUGACGUUGAGGCACGAAAGUGUGGGGAGCAAACAGGAUUAGAUACCCUGGUAGUCCACACUGUAAACGAUGGAUACUAGGUGUAGGAUGUAUUAAGCAUUCUGUGCCGCCGCUAACG
rnacentral:rRNA from 1 species